UACGUAGGGUGCAAGCGUUGUCCGGAAUUAUUGGGCGUAAAGAGCUCGUAGGCGGUCUGUCGCGUCUGCUGUGAAACUCGGGGCUUAACCCCGGGCCUGCAGUGGGUACGGGCAGACUAGAGUGAUGUAGGGGGAGACUGGAAUUCCUGGUGUAGCGGUGGAAUGCGCAGAUAUCAGGAGGAACACCGGUGGCGAAGGCGGGUCUCUGGGCAGUAACUGACGCUGAGGAGCGAAAGCGUGGGGGAGCGAACAGG
rnacentral:rRNA from 1 species